rnacentral:rRNA from 7 species
AGCAGCCGCGGUAAUUCCAGCUCCAAUAGCGUAUAUUAAAGUUGUUGCAGUUAAAAAGCUCGUAGUUGAAUUUCGGGAUCAAUAUUUCGGUCAUGCCGUUGGUAUGCACUGUUAUCAUUGAUUUCUCACCUUCUAAAGAACCGUAAUGCCAUUAAUUUGGUGUUACGGGGAAUUAGGACUGUUACCUUGAAAAAAUUAGAGUGUUUAAAGCAGGCUCACGCUUGAAUACAUUAGCAUGGAAUAAUGAAAUAGGACAUCCGAUUCUAUUUUGUUGGUUUCUAGGAUCGAUGUAAUGAUUAAUAGGGAUAGUUGGGGGCAUUAGUAUUCAAUUGUCAGAGGUGAAAUUCUUGGAUUUAUUGAAGACUAACUACUGCGAAAGCAUUUGCCAAGGAUGUUUUCAUUAAUCAAGAACGAAAGUUAGGGGAUCGAAGACGAUCAGAUACCGUCGUAGUCUUAACCAUAAACUAUGCCGACUAGGGAUCGGAUGAUGUUAAUUUUUUAAUGACUCA